CUUUUGUCCACCUGGCCAUAUUCCUAGACAAGUGGCUUCAUGUUUUUGGAUACUGUCCUUUGCCUGCUGGCUUGGAAAAUGGAAGAGAUGGAAAAGAGCAGAGAGUUUUCUUCUGGGCACCAUUUUUAUGUUGGCCCUGUCCUUCCACUGCUCUCUAGUCCUGCUAGAAGAUCCCACUGGACAUACAGAUUUGGAAGCGAUGUGAUACUGCUUUUACUGAUUUCUCAUGUCAUGGAGGCCUCUCUUAAAUAUGGUACUGCCAAUCAAAACACAAAUUGGGAGACUGAAUAACAUAGUACUUCAACUUAGAAAGGUAUGUUCAGAUUCCUUAUACCAAAUUUAACUCUGUAUGUUUAGCAGUUGUAGCAUAAUUAUUGCUUCCGUGUACUGACAUCCCAGAGUUAGACACUGUGCUGUUGUCUUUAUAUCCUCAAUAUAUUAUAUAUAAUUCUCGCCACAAUCCUGCAAAUAUCUUCUUUUCUCAAUUUUAACAGAGGAGACAGAGCCUAGGAAGUUAAGAAUAAAUUUCAGAUUCAAAUUUUGAUUUCCCACAUACAGUGUAGUCUUGAG
rnacentral:lncRNA from 10 species